CCAGCUCCAAUAGCGUAUAUUAAUGUUGUUGCAGUUAAAAAGCUCGUAGUUGAAUGUCUGAUUAUAUUAUUAGCUGGCUUUGGUCGUUAAUAAUAUAAUCAUCCGUUAGAGAACUAUAGCCGUCCUUUAUUGGUCACUAUAUGAGAUCUAACAUUUUACUUUGAAAAAAUUAGAGUGUUCAAGGCAGGCAAUCGUCAUGAAUACUAUAGCAUAGAAUAAUGGAAUAGGACUUUGGUUCAUUUUAUUGGUUAUUGAACCUUAGUAAUGAUUAACAGGGACAGUUGGGGGCAUUAGUAUUUAAUUGUCAGAGGUGAAAUUCUUGGAUUUAUUAAAGACUAACUUAUGCGAAAGCAUUUGCCAAGGAUGUUUUCA
rnacentral:rRNA from 1 species